AAGCUCAGGACUGGUUCGUGACAUAAUGAGAUACAUCCACAUAGCUUUAUUGUGUGUUCAAGAUAAUGUUGCUGAUAGACCAACUAUGGCUGCAGUAGUUCUCAUGCUCAGUAGCCUCUCUCUGAGUCUUCCCGUGCCUUCAGGGCCUGCAUACUAUUCUCACAGCGACAUUAGCCCAGAGAUUUCGCUUAUUCAAGAAUACAAUUCAAGAUCAUCAGAAUCUAGAGAAUUAGCCAAAACUAAAUCUAUUAGUUCAUCACGUAUUCAGGCAUGAUAACUUAGUUACACACUCUGUCAACAUCCUUACACAUAUCGCCUUCUUCUCCGAGUUACUUUGUUAUUUGUUCGAAUUCUAAUUAUUUUAGAAUUGAGAUUGAUUUAUUAAUGGAAGAUCAAACUUGUUUCAUAUGUUAGUAUUGGCUGUCUUACCAAAUCGCGAAUCAGCAAGACCAAUCGUCUAAUGGUGUAAGCGAAAGUUUAAUAUGUGUAGCUUUGAUUUUCACUACCCCUUUAUGCGAUCCCGAUAUGUAGUGGCGUUCACAAAAACAGAUGGCGACAGUUUGCCCUCUAAUAAAUCCCUUCUCUAUAGGUCUUUUUCCUUGCUUUCUUCAGAGAAAACAUUGAGAACAUUAUAAACAUACUGGAAAAUUUAACGUUUCAUAACAUACAUUAUGUGACUUGAAGGAUGUUUUCGAGAAAAUUUGGCUAUUAAGCUUCUUCAAGUUUCCAAUUAGCAAAAUGGCCUACUGAGAAAAUUUAACUAUUAAGCCUCUUCAAAUUUUCAAUAAGCUUCUAGUUUUUCAUCUAUCGGAUUGACAAUCGAUCUGUCCAUAUAUAGGUCGGAUCAAUAAUAGAUCUGUUUAUAUAUCGGUCGGAUAGAUAAUAGAUCUAUCUAAAAAAUGAGUCAUUUUCCUAAAAAAAUAAAUAAAUUAUAGUCUAUUUAAUUAAAAUGGAGACUUGAAAAUGUCAUUUAACAAAAAAUCAAGAGAAAUAAAGAAAGGUAUGUGUAAUAUCACAAACCAAAAGGGAGAUCGUAUUAUGAAGAAAAACUUGGAGUGAGGUCUCUAAAAAUUAUCUUUUAAAAAAAUUAGUUUUCUUUCAAAAAUUUAUCUUUUUAAAAAGAGAAUUUUAGAGACCUCACUCCAAGUUUUUCUUCAUAAUACUAUCUCCCAUUUGGUCUAUGAUAUUACACAUAUAUAUACUUCCUUAUUGUUUUCCUGAUAAUUCCUAGAUAAUAUUUUUGUGUCAUAUGAAACCAAAAUUACCUGAGAGAUUUCUUGAGCAAAAUAUUUUCCACAGGUAAAAAUCUAAAAUUUAGAAAUUUAAAAUUUUCUCAUGAAACUUUUGAGAUAUUCUCCGUAAAAGAAAUCCCUAUAUAUAAACGUAUAGUUCACUCUUCUGUUGACGUGAAAUUGGAGAGAACCCAGUAUAUUACGAUUGUGCUUGGUUAUGAAAUUUUCAAAUUUAACUUGGAGUUGAAUUUCAACUUCAAAUCAUAUGUCUAUCAUAGGGCUCAUUUGUUUGCACUUAAUAGAGGUGUGAAUCUAAAUUCAGAUUAUUAAAUGCAUUUAUUUUUUAUUAAGAUUUUAGCUCUUAAUAGGUCUUAAUCAUUUAGAUCUAGAAUCAAAGUUUUAAAUAUUCUGGUGUUGGAUAGUAUUCACCGUCACUCUAUUCAUAAUCACCAGUCACCACCUCUGCUACCGUCAUCAUUGUCAACCACCACCCACCACCACCAACCAUCUCCACCAUCGUCAGCAAAUAUCGCUACCAACUACUAUUGUCAACCGCUACCACACCUACUAUCUCUAUUAUUCUAAUUAUAUUUAUCGAUAACACUGUCAUCAAUAGCACCACCAUCAUCAACCACUACCAGCCAAUCUCUACUAUCGACCAACUCAUCUAUCACAACUAGCACCACCGCUAACUACCACUAAUGCAUCACAACCUCCACACAUUCUUCGGCGACCACCACCAUUGUCACUAAUAACGUCACCUUUAUCAUAACUUUAAUCACUAUCAUCGCUACAAUUUAUCUCUACUAAUAACCAUCUCCACCAUCACAACUAACAACAUCUCCAACUAGCAUCAACACAUCAUCAACCAUCAUACAUUCAUUUUUCAGUCAUCACAAUCAACACCUCCAACUACUAACAUCAAUUAACGUCACAUCAGAACCACCACUACGAUUAUCAACUGUCACCAUCAUAACAGUCACUACAAUACCAACCAUCACAACUAUCACUACUAACAUUACUAAUCACUAACAUCGAUCAUUGUCACCCCAAACACUAUUAUAAACCAUCUCCACUAUCACUAACAAACAUAAUUUUUUUUUUUCAAUCAAUAAUAGUUUUGUUGUUUUCAAUUACAUACUUUUUUUAUAUAUAAUUAGUUUUUUAUUCGAAUUGUAUUUUUUAUUUUAUUAUAUAUACAAAUAAUUUAUUUUUGCACCUUCAGAUGUUGAAAUACAAACAGUUUUAAUCAUUUAGUUUUCAGAUCUACAGACAAUAUCUUAAUCAUUCAGAUGUGCAUUCAGAUUCAGACGUCUAAAUCUUUAAAAAAAAAAAUGCAACCUAAAAUAGUUUUAAGUGAAAAUACUUUUGUCACAUCCCAAAAUAAUCUCUAGACGUGACUGGCUCCCGCUAACACCACCUGUCGGGAGAAUCAAUCUUCCUUACACUUUACUAGUUAAUAAGCACUAAAAUAGGGUAUGUGCAACUCCAGUGCAUCAAUAAAUAACGAAUAAUCAUUCAACAAAAAUUCAUAACCAAACUGUAAAAUCAACAAUCACUCACGAACUAAUUCUUUGUUCCAAAUCCCACAAUAAGACAUGGAGCAUCUAAAAUAAAGUCACAUAAUUUCAAACUUCGGGCAUGCAAACCCAAUGAAAAGAAACAUAAACUAGAUAGACAAAGAUGAAAGGAAAGCCUUCACGAAUAAUGUGAAGGCUCACCUUGACAAUAGAAUCCUUACGAAGGAAUCGUCACACACUAGUUUCACCUUGCGCAUUAGUAUUUGCAGACAUGCAAGUAAGGAGUGAGCUAUAUAUAAAUAUAACUCAGUAAGAUCAUCGGCCCGCUACUUUAAAUACUCAUGGGACAAGUAUUAGAAAAUAUGACAACACCAAGAACGUAAAGUUAUUUCACGCAGAAAUUAUAUCAUAAUAAGAUGACCAACGAGCCCCAACAAUCCUUCAUCAAGAACCAUACACCUCAAUACAAUUCAUACAAAACACUUAUCAUACUUUGUAAUUAAAGUAAUUAGCUAACACCAAAAGUUUCAGGCAACAUACACAAUGCGCCAAAUACAUCAAGAGUAUACACAAUACUUGAAAGGAUACACAAUGCCCCAUAUCAAAUCAACAAGCAUACACAAUGCUCAAGGGAAGCAUACACAAUAUCCUAUAUCAAAUCAACAAGCAUACACAAUGCUCAAGGGAAGCAUACACAAUGCCCCAAUGAAAUUAAGAAGCAUACACAAUACCUCAAUCUCACAGCAAACAAUCAUAUCACAACACGAAAUAUUUUAUAACAAGAGAAUUGAUAUUCUUAAACAUAAAGUACAUACGGCUGGCCUUGGAGGCCACCGAUUCAGCCAAGCACACGCUCGUCCCAACACAUGGACCGGGCAGAUAUAAAUAUAUCUUAAAAACAAAUUUGAAAAGCAAGCACCCAAAGUUUAAAGUCUCACUUACCUCUGUAAUGACGAAUUCCCCAACUUUGUAAUACGUAGAACACCGGUCAGAUAACCUCUAAUGGCUUCAAUCUGUAACUCGACAGCCGUGACAAUGGUUCAAGGACUUAUUUUCGUCUACCAACGCUCCCAAAUUUCACAAAAUUUUCUUAUUUUUCUUUCCAGCAAUGAAAAGAUUGAAAAGCUCUAGUAUUAUACUCCUUUUAUAAUUGAAAUUUUGAAAAACAGAAUAAGGGAGAGGGUUUUGAAUUUUGACUUAUCCGGCUACUUUAAUUUUAUUAAUUAAUAAUAAUAAUAAUGACUAAAUUACCCACUUACCCCUCAUUAAAAAUCUGGUUAUUACAACCUAUAGGUUUGCAAAUAUUGAAUGCUAAAAAGAGUCUUAAGUGUAUAAUAGUAAAUAAUCUUUUUAUAUAAUAUCACGAAAUCACACACUUUAAAUUAUAGCAUGUGUACUAGUUUUCAAUAUUAACAAAUCAAACAUGAACAAAAAAUAUUUUUCC
rnacentral:lncRNA from 1 species